AGCAGUAGCCACGGUAAUACAGAGGGUGCGAGCGUUAAUCGGAUUUACUGGGCGUAAAGCGUGCGUAGGCGGCUAAUUGAGUCGGAUGUGAAAUCCCCGAGCUUAACUUGGGAAUUGCAUUCGAUACUGGUUAGCUAGAGUGUGGGAGAGGAUGGUAGAAUUCCAGGUGUAGCGGUGAAAUGCGUAGAGAUCUGGAGGAAUACCGAUGGCGAAGGCAGCCAUCUGGCCUAACACUGACGCUGAGGUACGAAAGCAUGGGGAGCAAACAGGAUUAGAGACCCCCGUAGUCCCUGUCUCUUAUAC
rnacentral:rRNA from 1 species